GACGAACGCUGGCGGCGUGCUUAACACAUGCAAGUCGAACGGAAAGGCCCUGCUUGCAGGGUACUCGAGUGGCGAACGGGUGAGUAACACGUGGGUGAUCUGCCCUGCACUUCGGGAUAAGCCUGGGAAACUGGGUCUAAUACCGGAUAGGAGCCAUUUUUAGUGUGAUGGUUGGAAAGUUUUUUCGGUGUAGGAUGAGCUCGCGGCCUAUCAGCUUGUUGGUGGGGUAAUGGCCUACCAAGGCGGCGACGGGUAGCCGGCCUGAGAGGGUGGACGGCCACAUUGGGACUGAGAUACGGCCCAGACUCCUACGGGAGGCAGCCGUGGGGAAUAUUGCACAAUGGGCGCAAGCCUGAUGCAGCGACGCCGCGUGGGGGAUGACGGCCUUCGGGUUGUAAACUCCUUUCGCUAGGGACGAAGCUUUUUGUGACGGUACCUAGAUAAGAAGCACCGGCUAACUACGUG
rnacentral:rRNA from 1 species